rnacentral:lncRNA from 1 species
CUUUGAUAAGACGCUGUUCAAAAAGCUGUCUUUGUGAUUCAAGUUCCAUCUGUCGUACUUCUAUAUCUUGAACAGUAGCAGCUGUUUCUUGCUCUCUCAUUGAUGCCUUUCUUGCAAUGUCAUCAUCAAGACGUUUCAGCUCCGUUUGACGCCGAUCUUGCUGGUAUUUCAGAAAACGCCUUCUUGAAGCAUCUAGAAAUUGUAAUUCCUUUACUUUCAGUUCUCUUCUCACAGCAGCUAGUCUCCGCCUCCUUUCUGCCAGCUUUUCUUCCUCUUCCAGUACCAUUUUUCGCCUUUGUUCUUCAGCUUCUCGGAGUAAUUCCUGCUUUCUGUAGAAGGCUUCAUCUUCUGCUUUCUGUUCCUGUGCUUUAGCUUCUAAUUCAUGCACUAACUGCCUCUCUCUUAAGUAUUCAAUUUCAUCCUGUCUGAUCCUCUCCCGUUCCUGAGUUUGAUAAUCCACAAUGAACUUGGGAUAUUUGUUAAAUACAGGGUACUGUCCUUUUGUAAGUGGCAUGAAGUCAUCAAGCACACGUUGUGGAUGGAUAUCUGGUGGUGUAGUC